rnacentral:rRNA from 1 species
AGAGAGAGACAUGCGCGCAUAUCAAUAAGCGGAGGAAAAGAAACUAACAAGGAUUCCCCUAGUAACGGCGAGUGAAGCGGGAAGAGCUCAAAUUUGAAAUCUUAAAGGGUUUCCCUUUACGAAUUGUAGUUUAAAGAAGUGUUUUCUGUUGAGGUUUUGGUAAAAGUUCUUUGGAAUAGGACAUCAUAGAGGGUGAGAAUCCCGUAUUUGACCUUUACUUUCAACUUUGUGAUACACUUUCAAAGAGUCGGAUUGUUUGGGAAUGCAGUCCAAAAUGGGUGGUAAAUUUCAUCUAAAGCUAAAUAUUGGCGAGAGACCGAUAGCGAACAAGUACCGUGAGGGAAAGAUGAAAAGAACUUUGAAAAGAGAGUUAAACAGUACGUGAAAUUGUCAAAAGGGAAGCGUUUGACACCAGUGUUGUUUUUCUGAAAAUCAAUUAAAGAACUGUUUAUGCUAAGUUGCUUAGACUUUAUCAGCUAUCUGUUUAGUUUUGAGCUUUUCUUUAAUGCACUUUUCAGUUAACAAGUCAACAUCAAUUUCUUUUGCUGUAAAAAAGCUUGAGGAAGGUGGCUUGAGAUUCGUCUUAAGUGUUUAUAGCCUCUUGCCUAUGCAGUCGGAGAGAUUGAGGUCUGCAGCGUAGAUCCUUCGGGAGCUAAAUGCAUUUGUGCUAAGUUAUAGCAUUUUAUAGACAACUUGUUGACUAUGAUUUGUCUUGUAGCUUACUCGCUUAUGUUAUUUUACCUACGCUUAGGAUGUUGACGCAUGAGAUAUACGC